rnacentral:rRNA from 1 species
AUACGGAGGAUGCGAGCGUUAUCCGGAUUUAUUGGGUUUAAAGGGUGCGUAGGUGGUAGAUUAAGUCAGCGGUGAAAGUUUGUCGCUCAACGAUAAAAUUGCCGUUGAUACUGGUUUACUUGAGUAUAGUUGAAGUAGGCGGAAUGCGUGGUGUAGCGGUGAAAUGCAUAGAUAUCACGCAGAACUCCGAUUGCGAAGGCAUCUUACUAAGUUAUAACUGACACUGAAGCACGAAAGCGUGGGUAUCAAACAGGAUUAGAUAACCUGGUAGUCCACGCAGUAAACGAUGAUUACUAGCUGUUUGCGAUAUACAGUAAGUGGCGCAGCGAAAGCGUUAAGUAAUCCACCUGGGGAGUACGCCGGCAACGGUGAAACUCAAAGGAAUUGACGGGG